rnacentral:lncRNA from 1 species
GCUCCUGCAUACUGCAAGCUGGGUGCCUUCCUUCUACAGAACCCAUGCCCCCUUGCAAGGAAACCAUGGAAUUUCCCCAGGAGUCUUCGACAACUCCAGGCCACAGGAAGGUCACAAAUGGUCAGAAAAGGAAUGAAUUUGAGAGAGGAAGCACCAGCCCUACCCACGUUGUCUGAAGCCCCUCCCAAGGGGACAGGAAAGCUCCACAAACAGGACCUGGAACAUCCAGGGAGCAUCUGGGCUGCAGGUUUAAAAAAUAUCCUGGACUUUGGAAAAUAUUCUUAUAUAAAGAAGCAAAAAGAGGAUGGAAUAGACUUGUGCUAACACUGAAACUCCAGUCAAGUUGUAAACUGAAAAAGAACGUGUUGAAACAAGGAAUUGCCCCAUAGCCUUCACAGGAUCUCACUCUGUUGCAGUGUCACUGGAGUGCAGUGGUGCAGUCUUGGCUUCCUGCAACAUCUGCCUUCCAGAAUCAAGCAAUUAUCCAGCUUCAGCCUCCCGAGUAGCUGGGACCACAGACGUGCCACCAUGCCUGGCUUAUUUUUUUAUUUUUUGUAGAGAUGGGGUUUCACCAUUGUUGCCCAGGCUGGGCUCAACUCCUGAGCUCAAAGUGAUCCAUCUGCCUCAGCCUCCCAAAGUGCUGGAAUUACAGGCUCAGUCUAUACUAGUAUAUUUACAACUAUAUUUUAUUACAAUAUUUAUUAAAUAUUGUUGUCUUUUGCUAGGAAACUUAAAAACCUUAAAGAACAUCAUUUGUGAGCUCCCAAU